rnacentral:rRNA from 1 species
CAGUAGCCGCGGUAAUACGUAGGUGGCAAGCGUUGUCCGGAAUUAUUGGGCGUAAAGGGCUCGCAGGCGGUUUCUUAAGUCUGAUGUGAAAGCCCCCGGCUCAACCGGGGAGGGUCAUUGGAAACUGGGAAACUUGAGUGCAGGAGAGGAGAGUGGAAUUCCACGUGUAGCGGUGAAAUGCGUAGAGAUGUGGAGGAACACCAGUGGCGAAGGCUACUCUCUGGUCUGUAACUGACGCUGAGGAGCGGAAGCGUGGGUAGCGAACAGGAUUAGAUACCCCUGUAGUCCCUGUCUCUUAUAC